AAAAUAAAGAUCUAUGAGAGACACGAAGAUUCAGGGAGGAGCUGAGCUGUUACUGACCUAUAGAAGAGAGAGGAACUUCCAGAUUCAGCAGAGUUCUAUACACAAACCAGAAACAUUACCUGUGUUCAACAUGCUGUCAUUGCAUUAUUCUGGAUUUUCUCUACUGGUUCUCUCCACUCUAACAGGCAUCAACUCUCAGGAUCUGACUCCAGUCAACAAUGAAGAGUUCAGUUCAGAAGGCAGCACCGUUACUCUGUCCUACACAUACUCCAAAGAAGCAACUGCCAGUGAUAAUUUCUUCUGGUAUCGACAAUAUCCAGGAAAACCACCAGAGUUCCUCAUCUCUCACACAGGGACAGGAAAACCAUUAAAGGAUCCAGUCCCUGGACUGUCUGUUAAAGUGAGUGAGGAUAAAAGACAAAUGGAUCUGCAGAUCUCCUCUGCUGCAGUGACUGACUCUGCUGUGUACUACUGUGCUCUG